CAGUAGCCGCGGUAAAACGAAGGGGGCUAGCGUUGCUCGGAAUGACUGGGCGUAAAGGGCGCGUAGGCGGCGAUCAAAGUCAGGCGUGAAAUUCCUGGGCUCAACCUGGGGGCUGCGCUUGAUACUGGGUUGCUUGAGUGGGGAAGAGGGUCGUGGAAUUCCCAGUGUAGAGGUGAAAUUCGUAGAUAUUGGGAAGAACACCGGUGGCGAAGGCGGCGACCUGGUCCUUUACUGACGCUGAGGCGCGAAAGCGUGGGGAGCAAACAGGAUUAGAUACCCCCGUAGUCCCUGUCUCUUAUAC
rnacentral:rRNA from 1 species